AAGCUGAGGUAGUAGGUUGUAUGGUUUAGAAUUACACCAAGGGAGAUAACUGUACAGCCUCCUAGCUUUCCUUGGGU
ensembl:miRNA microRNA let-7a-2